rnacentral:misc_RNA from 1 species
GAUGAAGGAACGUAGCGAAAUGCGAUAAGUAAUGUGAAUUGCAGAAUUCAGUGAAUCAUCGAAUCUUUGAACGCACAUUGCGCCCACUAGUAUUCUGGUGGGCAUGCCUGUUCGAGCGUCAUUACGACCCUUAAGCCUCAGUUGCUUAGUGUUGGGGGCUCGCCGUAAUUGGCGACCCCUUAAAGACAUCGGCGGAGUCGAGAUGGAACUCUGAGCGUAGUAAAUUUUUUCUCGCUUUUGAAGUCCUCACGGCCCUAGCCGCUAAACCUUAUGACCUAGUCAUCUAGUGGUUGACCUCGGAUCAGGUAGGAAUACCCGCUGAACUUAAGCAUAUCAAUAAGCGGAGGA